rnacentral:rRNA from 1 species
GAUGAACGCUGGCGGCGUGCUUAACACAUGCAAGUCGAGCGAAGCGCUUAAGUUCGAUUCUUCGGAUGAAGACUUUUGUGACUGAGCGGCGGACGGGUGAGUAACGCGUGGGUAACCUGCCUCAUACAGGGGGAUAACAGUUAGAAAUGGCUGCUAAUACCGCAUAAGACCACAGUACUGCAUGGUACAGUGGUAAAAACUCCGGUGGUAUGAGAUGGACCCGCGUCUGAUUAGGUAGUUGGUGAGGUAACGGCCCACCAAGCCGACGAUCAGUAGCCGACCUGAGAGGGUGACCGGCCACAUUGGGACUGAGACACGGCCCAGACUCCUACGGGAGGCAGCAGUGGGGAAUAUUGCACAAUGGGCGAAAGCCUGAUGCAGCGACGCCGCGUGAAGGAUGAAGUAUUUCGGUAUGUAAACUUCUAUCAGCAGGGAAGAAAAUGACGG